UUUACAUAGUUCGACGAAAGGUGAAAGUGCAUUCUGGUAAGGAUUGAGGGAUAUAGUACAAGCCGCUCGAUGCACCUCCUUCGCGCUGGCGUCUCACACAGCGGUUUAGACCGGUUUCGCGUGAGUGUGUGUGUGUGUGUGUGUGUGUU
ensembl:ncRNA K03C7.5 ncRNA